AAAAGUUCCCUCUCUCUCCCUUUCAGUCUCUCACUUUUUUCUGUGCUUCUCUUUCUCUUUCUCCUUUCACCCUCUUAAAAUAAUAGAGUAGGGAGAAAAAAAGGUCUCAAAGAUGAGACCAAAAGACGGGUUUUUUUAUAAAGGUCCCUAUAAGGGAGGGUUUCUCAUGCAUGUGACUAGCAGCAACAACUGCAAGGUGACCAUGACCAUGGUCAACCCUUUGAGGAGAAUUGGGAGGUGUGACCAAAAUGAAUCCAUUAGUGGCUCUGAAAUUGGAGCUGACAAUUCUCCUGCUGGAGCAGCUUCAUUCUAAUCUGGUGCUAUCCUAUCUGAGCUUUUUACUUCUACCCUUUCUUCAUCUAAUUUCUACCACACUAUCUUUGUUUUUCCCUUGGAGUCUUCUUGACCUUGUAAGACCUUUUCUUGACCUUGUAAGACCUCACACCCUAUCUCUUCUCUUUAUUUUUGCUUUUGGGGAAGACCCUAUAUCACUAUCCACUGAUGUAGAGUUUGAUCUCCUGCUUUCCCCGUUACCACCCAACUCAUACUUUCCUUCCUUGUCUAUCCCUCCUGAGCUGUUCCAGUUUAAUUUGGCCUAUCAUCAUGCAACAAUUUAAUGUAAUAUUAUGCCACACUAUGGUAUCAUAUAUAUGGUAUGGCUUCAAAGAAACUAAUUCAGGACCUUAUCUUAAUACCUUGACCUUAGAACCUCUCUCAAUGGGGCUUGUUCAAAUGUGCAAGCAAUUUGGAGACCAUGGCUUCCAAGAGAGUACAACAAUUGGGGUAUAUUAUUUUAUUUUAUUGUUUUUUAUAUAUAUAUAUAUAUAUUUAUCUUGGUGAGAAAUCAAAGUAGUUCGUGCAGCAGCAUGGCCCUUAAGGUAUGUAUGGUUAGUUGUAAAGAGUGGCCAUAGUUAAUAAAUCAAUGUUGCUAGUAUUCAGAGGAAAUUCAAAAUCCAACCUAUAUGAUAUUUCUGUUAAGGCAAUCAAUUUCGCUUGUAUCAUUGUGUGCAGAAUAUUUAUGCUGUGUUGCAGAACAUCUGUUUCGUUGUUUUAUAUGAUGUUUGGCUGAGAAAGUGUGCAACAACUGCAUACAUAUUCUUUUAGAUCUAAGCAAGAGUUUCCCUCGUGAUUGCUCCAAUGUACAAAUAUCCACUGUAUUAUUGGAGUUAUCUCUUUUCUCUC